UGUAGGAGUGAGCCUGCUCGCGAUGGCGGUGUGUCAUUCGAAUCAAUCUUGACUGUCAUGACGCUAUCGCGAGCAGGCUCACUCCUACA
rnacentral:misc_RNA from 2 species